CUGACCUCAAAUCAGGAGGAC
rnacentral:rRNA from 2 species